UGGUCUCUUUGAUGGGGAGAGUUGUUUGUCUAGGGGAUUAACCCAUGGGAACAGAGUGGGGAGGGGGCCUGUGGUCAGGCCGUUGUGGUUCACCUGGUUUCCCUAGAUAUUAGGAAGCACACGAUACUGGGCCUUUAUUGUAGGCCUUGCACCGCAUGAGCAAAUGGAAAUAUGGCAAGUUUCAGAAAAGAAAGAAAAGGGCCGAAAAGUACAUUAGCCAAAAUAGGAAGCACCCUGGAUGGACUGAAUACAAGGUAAAGAUGACAGAAGAAAGAGGGCAUGAACCUGAAGAUGGCUCAGUAGGAAGUAUUUCGUCUGAGUGUCAGAGAAACGAAAAAGCCUUGUCUGUACGAACUGAACCUCAGGAACCUCUAGGAUAGUACUGAAGUGUUUAACACUUGUGUCACAAGGAGUCUGAAAGGAAGGGAGAAACUGUGGUUCAGAAGAAAAAUGUUUAAAGAAAUAAUGGCUGAAGACUUCGCAAAUUUGCUGAGACAUAAACAAGGAUUUAAGAAGUGCCUGAACCCACUCAAGAUAAGCCGCAAGAGAUCCCUGACCAGACACAUUCAUAAGCCACUUAAAACCACCGACCAAAAACCAACUGACCCACAAAAAAUACCCUGGAAAGUCAGAGGAAGAUGACACAUCAUUUAUAGGGAACCAGUGAUUUGAAUGAACUAGAUUUCUCAUCAGAACAAUGCAGUCCACAAGUCAGUGGAACAGCAUCACUGAAGUGCUGAAAGGAAGGAAUUGUCAACCCAGAAUUCUGUGUUUGGAGAAAAUGCCCUUUAAGAAUGAAGGUGAGGGUGCCUGGGUGGCUCAGUCAGUUAAGCAUCUGACUCUUGAUUUCGGCUCAGGUCAUGAUCCCACAGAUUGGUGAGUUUGAGGCCCACAUCGGGCUCUGUGCUGGCAACGCGGAGCCUGCCUGUGGUUCUCUUUCCCUCUCUCUCUGCCCCUCCCCCACACUGUAUCUUUCUCUCUCUCUCUCUGUCUCUCAAUACAUAAAUAAACAGUAAAAAAAAGAAAACUGGGGUGCCUAAGCGGCUCAGUCAGUUGAGCGUCGGACUUCGGCUCAGAUCAUGAUCUCACACUUCGUGGGUUCGAGCCCGGCGUCGGGCUCUGUGCUGACAGCUCGGAGCCUGGAGCCUGCUUCAGAUUCCGUGUCUCCCUCUCUCUCCGCCCCUCCCCCACUUGUGUUCUGUCUCUCUCUCUCUCUCUCUCUCUUUCAAGAAUAAACAUUAAAAAAAUUUUUUUUUAAAUACAAAAAAAACCUGAAUUUGCUUUUCACCAAACACUCAUCCUGGUGACUAGUUUUUGAAGCUGUAAUGCCCGUAAAGUGGAAUAGAAGGUGUGGAGCAUUCAGGCACCCUCCGUGCAUGUCUCUGAGCAGGCGGUAGAGUCCGAUUAUAUUCGUUUCACUUACACCCACUUUUAUCCACCCAGCAGCGGUGCUCAUGGUUGAAUGGCUGAUGAGCAGCUGUCCCUGCCUGUAGGCAGAGUCGUAGUUCAAGGGAGAAGCCCUGGGCUGAGCGUCUUUGGGCUCGAACCCCACCUCCCUCACUGCAUCGUGUUUCGUUAGGCACGUUUCUUUUUCAACGUCGUUUCUCAGUUUCUUCUGUUGUGGAAUGAAGGUGAUGACGUCUGUACCGCACGGCCGCGGAGAGAACAGCAGCUCUACGUUACAAUCGGUGUACGAUAUACUGCAUGGGUUUUUAGCAAGAAAACUUGGCAAGCUUUGACGUGUGGACACCCAUGGAACCAUAACCAGCCAGGAUGAUGAAUACAUCUAUAGCUCUGUCACCCCCUAAAGUUUCUUCGCGCAGCCACUGAACCACUGUCUGUCACUACAGGACAGGUACUGUAUAUCUUCCCUUAGGACAGUCUACCAUCCCAUGAAUAAAACAUCUCAUACACAAGAAUGCAGUAGUAAGUACUUGUAUUGUUUUCCUCUGCUCUUUGUGCCUUCGUUGUUAUGCACUUAAACUUUUACAUAUGCUUUCACCCCACGCUUCAUGAUUAAUUUUGUUAAAAAAAAAUCAAUUAUUCUUAAAAGAUUUAAGUCAUCAGGAAAAUGUCACGUAUUUACUCCUGUGGUUGUUUCCUCUCCCGAUUCUUCCUUUGUGUAGACACAUACUUGAAUUUAUUACCAAUAUCCAUCUUCCCGUAACAGUUCUGUGUGCAUGGCAGCAGCUGCUGCUGGGCUCCUUCGGCUUUGGGAGAUCUAGAAAAGUCUUUCGCUCUGUAUUUGGAAAUGUUUUUGCUGGGUGCAGAGCUCCAGGUUGGUAAUAUUUUUAUCUCUCCUUAUGUGAGCGAUGUCGCAACACCACCGUCUUAGCUGAAGUUGUUUCCUUGACGGGAAUCUGCCGUCAUCCUUUUCUUUGUUCUUUUGAAACAGUGUGUUUCUUUGCUAGACCUGCCUUAUGAUUUUUCUCCUUAUCCCUGGUUGUGGGCGACUUGAAUUAUGGCGUGCCUUCGAAUAGUUUUCGUCAUGGUCCUUUUGCUCGGCCUCAAACUCCUCGACCCUCUCCCCCUUUUAGGUGGGUCUUUCCCGAGUUUCUUCACACGUGUAGUGCUCAGUACUCUGGUGAACACUCAGGAGGGACCCCCUCCAGAUUUCUGGAGUCUGCCCCCCAUCCUGCACACUAGUUACCUGUGUCCCCCUGGACUCACGGCUCCUCUUUAACUGAGAGGGCGCUGGGCUGGCUUGGGGUCCACCUCUCUGCUCUGUGUCCUGGCAGCUCUUUCUGGACCAUACGCUUGUGCAGGAGUCGGGCUCACCUUGCUUGGUCUUGAGUCAUCACUGUCCCAUGUUGCCUCAUGUCCAGCGUCACCAAUACUGAGUUUCGGGUGUAUCAGGCAGAAGGUAAAUCCAGUCUCUGCUACCUUAUGGCUGGAAGUGGAAGAGCCAUGAUGUCGUGAAUGAAUACGUAAGCAUGCGUCCACUCAUGUAUUACUUAUUAUUUAUCUAAUCUUUUACCGAUUAGAUAAAUAAUACUAGUUUCAGGGAUACAACGUAAUGAUUCUUUGUAUGUAUAUGUUGUAAAAUGGUCACCACAGUACGUAUAGUUAGCAUCUGCCACCACACAGUCACAAAAUGUUUUUUCUUCUGGCGGGAGCUUUUAUGAUUUACUCGUAGCAACUUUUAAGUGGUCAACACAGUAUUAUUAACUGCAGUCACCAUAAAGUUCGUUAUAUCCUCAGGGUUUAUUCAUUUUGUAGUUGGGAGUUUGUACCUUUGACCGUCUCCGCCCUUUACUCCCAGUCCCCACCCUCACUUCUGGCAACCACCAGUCUGUUUUCUGUAUUUAUGAUUUUGUGGUUUUUUCCUUUUUUCAAGUUUCUUCAUAUAAGUGAGAUCAUCCGCUGUUUGUCUUCCUUGGUCUGACAUGUUUUACCUAGCAUAGUGCCCUCGGGGUCCGUCCGCGUUGUGGCAGAUGGCAGGAUCUCCUCCUGUUUAUGGUUGCAGAAUAUUCCACCCAGAGCUUCAUUAUCCAUUCAUCCCUCAGUGGACGCGUAGGUUGCUGGCUUGUCUUGGCUGCUAUAGUUAACGCUGCAGUGGACGUGAGCGUGUGUGUUUCUUCUCGAGACGGUGUUUUCAUUUCCUGCGGAGAAGUGCCCAGAGUAGAGUUGCUGGGCCGCAGGUAGUUCUGUUUUGACGCUCCUGAGAAACCUCUGUUGUGUUUUCCACGGUGGCUGGACCACGUCACAUUCCCACCAGCCGUGCACCAGGCUCCCUCGUCCCCACUCCCCCGCCGGCACUUGUCAUGUCCCGUCCUGGUGACACUAGCCGUUCUGACCGGUGUGUUGUGACACCUCAUUGUGGCUUUCGUUUGCAGUCCCCUCAUGACGAGUGAUGUUGCGUGUGUGACCUUUGUGUGACCUGUUGGCCAUCUGUCUGUCUUGCUUGCAAAAAUGUCUCUUCAGAACCUCGGUUCAUUUUGUAAUCUGUUCUUUUGGUGUUGAGUUGGGUGAAUUCUGUAUAUAUUUUGGGCUAUUAGUCCCUUAUCAGUUCCAUGAUUUUCAAAUAUUUUCUUCUAUUCUGUAGGUUGUCUUUUCAUUUUGUUGAUGGUUUCCUUUGCCAUGCAGAAGAUUUAGUGUUUUACUUUUUAUCUUUUGAGAAGAGAGCAUGCGCGGAUGCUAGGUGGGGAGAGAGGUAGAGGGAGAGAGAGGGAGAGAAUCUCGAGCAGGCUGCACAAUCCUCUGACGCGGGGCUCGAUCCCAUGACUGUGAGGCCAUGACCUGAGCUGAAAUUAAUUUGCUUGAUCCACAGAGCCACCCAGGCGCCCCCGAAGAUUUAGUUUGAUGUAGUUAUGCUGUUUAGCGUUGCUGUUGUUAACUUUGCUUUUCGUGUCAAAUCCAAAAGUCACCGUGGAGACCAUUGUGAAGAAGCUUUACAGCCUGUGUUUUUCCUUCAAAAGAUUUAUGUUUAUAGAUAUUCUCUUCACGUCUUUAAUCCAUUUUGUCUCGAUUGCGUGUAUGGUGUAAGAAACCGGUAUAUUCUUUUGCAUACGGGUGGUCAGUUUUCCCAGCACCGUUCGUUGUGAAGAGACCGUGCUUUCCCCAUUGCAUAUUCUUGGCUCCUUUGUCAGAUUAAUCGGCCGUAUAUGCAUAGGUUUAUUUCUGGGCUUUCUGUUCUGUUCUGUUGCUAUAUAGGUCUUUUUGUGCCCAAACCAUACUGUUUUGAUUACUAAAGCUUUGUAAGAAAAUGUGGAAUCAGGAAACGUGAUGCUUCCAGCUUGGUUCUUCUUUCCCAGCAUUGCUUGGGCUAUUUGGGGUCUUUAGUGGUUUCGUCAAAUUUUGCGAGUCUUUGUACUACUUCUGUGAAAAAUGCCCUUGGAAUUUUGACAGGGAUUACAUUGGAUCUGUAGAUUCCUUUGGGUAACAUGGCCAUCUUCACAGUGUUGUUGCUUUGAGUCCAUGAGCAGGAGUAUCUUUGUAUCUGUUCUGUGUCUUCAGUCCCUUUUACUCAUGUCAGAUACUUUUUAGUGGACGGGUCUUUCACCUCUUUGGUCAGAUUUAUUCCAAGCAUUUUAUUCUUUUGGAUCCAAUUAUAAAUGGAUCGUUUUCUUAAUUUCUCUUUCUGAUAGUUGUUGUGCGGAAAUGCAGCUGAUUUUUGUACAUUGCUUUUAUAUCCUGCAACUUCCCUGAAUUCAUUUAUUAGUUCUAACAUUUCUACGGUGGAUUACUUACGAUAUUUCAUAUGCAAUAGAUCAUGUGUAAAUAGUGACAGUUUUAUUAGUUCUUUUUUUCUUUGUUUUCUUUCUUCUAGAUUUGGAUGCAUUUUAGCUUUCUCCCUUUAAUUGCUCCAGUUAGGACUUCCAGUACCGUAUAGCAAGAGGUGACGUGUUGCUGAACGAGGCAAAUGUUGUCUUGUUUCUGAACGUAAAGGGAAAAUUUUCAGUGUUCCACCAUUGAGUAUGGUGUAUCUGUGUAUAUGACCUUUCUUAAGUCAUGUUUCCUUUAUACCCACUUUGUUUAGAGUUUUUAUCUUGAACGAAGGUUGACUUUUGUGAUGUGCUUUUUCUGCAUCUGCUGUGUGGUUUUUAUCCUUCAUUUUGUUAAUGUGGUGUGUCAUAUAGUUUUGUGGCUGUUGAACCGUUCUUGUGUCCCUAGAAUGCAGCCCACUUGAUCUUGGUGAACGUCCUUUUAAUGUGUUGUUGGAUUUGGUUUGGGUAUGUUUUGUUGAAGAUUUUUGCAUCUGUGUUCAUCAGGGGUCCUGGCCUGCAGUUUGUUUUCUUUGUGAUGUCCUUGUCUGAUUUUGUUAUCAGGAUGAUGCUGGCCUCAUCGAGUGAAGUUGGAAGUGUUCCUUUCUCUUUUAUUUUUUGGAAGAGUUUGGGAAGGAUUGGUAUUUUUUUAAAGUUCUCGUGUAAAUUCAAGUUACUUAACCUACAUAAUAUUCGUUUUAGUUUUAGGUGCACAAAAUAGUUAUCACCACUUUCAUGCAUCACCCAGGGCUGAUCACACGUGCCCUCCUUAAUCCCCUCCCCCAGCCACCUCCUCUCUGAUGACCAUAAGUUUCUUCUCUAGAGUUAAGAGUUCUCUUUCUUGGUUUGCCUGGGAAGGAUUGGUAUUAAUGCUUCUUUAAAGGUUUGCUAGAAUUCACCAGUGAAGUCAAAUAGUCCUGGAUCUUUGUUUGUUUGUCUGUUAUUGAUGACUCAUUCAGUGUCCUUACUAGUAAUUAGUCUGUUCAGAUUUUCUGUUUCUUUAUUGGUUCAGUCUUGCCGGGUUGUAUGUUUCCAGAAAUGUAUCCAUUUCUUCCGGGUUGUGCAGUUUGUUGACUCAUAAUUUUUGGUAGUAGUGUCAUGAUGUUUGUAUUUCUGUGGCAUCUGUUAUAUCAUCUUCGCUUUCAUUUCUGAUGUCAUUUGUUUGAGCCUUCUCUUUCAUUUCUUGUGGGUCUCACCAAAGGUUUAUUUUCAUAAAACCAGCUCUCAGUUGCAUUGAUCUUUUCUAUUGUCUUUUUAAUUUUAGUCUCUAUUUCACUUAUUUUGACUCUGAUCUUUGUUAUUUCCUUCUUCUAACUUAGGGCUUUGUUUGUUCUCUUGGUCCUUAAGAUUAGAUUGUUUAUUUGGCAUUUUACAUGUUUCUUGAGGUACAUUUAUUGCUAUAAACUUUUCUCUUGUAACGGAUUUUGCUGCAUCCCGUAGGUUUUGGUAUUUUUGUAUUUCUGUUUUC